rnacentral:rRNA from 1 species
UAGGACUACCCGCUGAACUUAAGCAUAUCAAUAAGCGGAGGAAAAGAAACUAACAAGGAUUCCCCUAGUAACGGCGAGUGAAGCGGGAUGAGCUCAAAUUUAAAAUCUGGCGGUCUCAGAUCGUCCGAGUUGUAGUCUAGAGAAGCGUUUUCCGUGCUGGCCUGUGUACAAGUCCGUUGGAACACGGCGUCAUAGAGGGUGAGAAUCCCGUCCUUGACACAGAUCUCCAGUGCUUUGUGAUGCGCUCUCAAAGAGUCGAGUUGUUUGGGAAUGCAGCUCAAAAUGGGUGGUAAAUUCCAUCUAAAGCUAAAUAUUGGCGAGAAACCGAUAGCGAACAAGUACCGUGAGGGAAAGAUGAAAAGCACUUUGGAAAGAGAGUUAAACAGUACGUGAAAUUGUUGAAAGGGAAACGAUUGAAGUCAGUCAU